CGGCUGCCGCCCGCCCCAGAGCGCCGGCUGUGGCGUGGGUGGGCGUGCGCGGCGCGGUUGCCUUCCGCGGUCCUUCGCGCCCCGGCCGAGCUGGCGAGCCCCGCGGUGUGCGGGCCGGCCGCACGGAGCUGGAGGUGCGGCUGCAACGCGGAGGGGCCUGACGGGGACCUCCACCCUCCUCGGCGGGAGCCUCAGGGGGUCCCGGUUUCCUUAAGCAGCAGCUGUGGCCAACCUGUGCGCGCAGGACCGGGCCACGGCGCAGGACCGCGAAGCCGGGCGGCCGCGUCGGCUCCUGCGUAAAUAUUUAUUCCGCAUGUAUUCCAGACAUGGUCUUUGUUCUUCCAGAGCUCACCGUACCCUCGAGGAAACAGAUUGGUGAGGUAACCGUGUAACCAUGUGAACAGCUGAUUGAUGGAAGGUCAGGGUCCUGGCUUGACCUCUUGACACAUCCCUGCCUAAGCUACUUGGUGAGUGUAUAGGGUUUUCAGUUUCUACACCACCCUGCUUUCCUAUGUCCCGGUUUUGGGGGGCUUUCAAAGUGCCUCUCUGUAAUAGUCCCUAGCUUGUUAAUUUUUAAUCUGCUGUAGUUUUAGGAAGGAAGUUAAUUAUCCUUGUUAGAAUUUCCCACCAAGUAAGGAGAUACAGGUUCUGAGGGAGAAGUUCUUUCCUCUGCAUAGACUUGUUGCCAUUUGGUUUCUUAUGUCAGAGAUGGUUCUGCUUAUUUUCUCCUUUUGCAUUGUGUUUCCAGGGAGGCGAAGUUCCUUGAUGCCUGAGUGAGAGAUACAUUAUUGCUAAUAAUACCAUCCCCUCAAAUCCUGCAUUACAGGAUUUUUGUGCAAAUGAAAGAAAGUGUGUAAAUUACUUUGCAAAGCAUUGCGUGCCAUAUGAAUGGAAGUAAUAAUUGUUAUAAUGGCUGCUUAGAGAUCUUCAAAACUAAUUAGUUACCAGAUUUUAGUAUUUGGAAAAUACUCCUUUCUCCUCCCCCCACCCUCCCACAAAAGACACAAAUAUACCUAUCCCUUAUGGACAGUGCAAAUCGUCGUCCUAAGUGCUCAUGUUACCCUUUGUGCCUUGUCUGGCAGGAAACUGAAAGCCAAAUUUGCAGGUUAUUGUAGGAAAUGAGUGGCUCCACAGGGCAUUCAUAUCUAUGUCUUAGCUCUUCCUUUGGUCUUGUUCUUCUAUCUGUAGUUUUCCUGUGCCUGCUUUAUUGGUAUUUUCCUAAUUUAUUAUAGGUAUUCUUAUAAACCACUUCAAAUAUAUGUCUCCACCUACUUUUAACAAGGGUAUUCAGUGUUUCAGAAGGCAGUAUAUAAAACAAUGGCAACUGGCCAACCAUUGUAGCAGGUAAGUACUGUAGACACUGUGCCAAGUGACUGGGAUUCAGACUGAAGCCUUGACCAGCAUUGAAUGUGGAUCAGAAAUCUCUGUGCAUACCAGUUUAGAGCCUUGUAUUAUAGGCCAACUCAUUUGGCCGCCCCCCACCCCCACUGGCUCAUAGGUAAUUUCCUUUGGUGUGAUCUCUGAGUUCCCAAAUUCCAUCAGCCUACCCUGUACCAAGCACUGUUUGUCACUUGGUAAGAGGGCAGGGAUCCAUGAACUUUUAUUCAUUAGGGUUUUUUUUUUUUUUUUUGUCAGCAAAGACCUGAAGAUUCCAGGAUUUGCUAAAUUCAGUCACACCUCACAAGAGUGCGACCAUGUCUUUCAGCCUUUGGUAUGACUCUGGACAGCCACAACUAGACAUGUCUCUUCUGGCAGAAGUAGAUUCAAGUUCCUUAGUGAUUACCUUCUUUCUCUCUCAGUCCUCAAGUUUAAGUCUUUUUUUUUUUUUUUAAGAUUUUAUUUAUUUAUUUGAGAGAGAGCGAGAGAGCAGAAGAGCACAGCUGGGGGAGGGGAGGGGAGGGGCAG